CCUACGGGAGGCAGCAGUGAGGAAUAUUGGUCAAUGGGCGCGGGCCUGAACCAGCCAAGUCGCGUGAGGGAAGACGGUCCUAUGGAUUGUAAACCUCUUUUGUCGGGGAGCAAAAGACGCCACGCGUGGCGUUCCGCGAGUACCCGAAGAAAAAGCAUCGGCUAACUCCGUGCCAGCAGCCGCGGUAAUACGGAGGGUGCAAGCGUUAUCCGGAUUUACUGGGUGUAAAGGGAGCGGAGACGGCAUCACCAGUCAGACGGGAAAUGCCGGGGCUUAACCCCGGCAGUGCGUUGGAAACUGGGGAGCUAGAGUGAGGGAGAGGUAAGCGGAAUUCGUAGUGUAGCGGUGAAAUGCGUAGAUAUUAGGAGGAACACCAGUGGCGAAGGCGGCAUACUGGACUGUAACUGACGGUGAUGCUCGAAAGCGUGGGGAGCAAACAGGAUUAGAUACCCGUGUAGUC
rnacentral:rRNA from 1 species